AUAUCUCUCUGUACGGGAAGGAUGAGAAGCUUCGACUAAGGUUCGAUUCGAGCGUCAGCGAGAAAGCGUUGCCGCAGGCAACGACCCGAAGGGCGAAGCGCGCA
rnacentral:sRNA from 3 species